rnacentral:rRNA from 1 species
AAAGGAAGUGACGGGGGCCCGGCCACAAGCGGUGGAGUAUGUGGUUUAAUUCGAUGCAACGCGAAGAACCUUACCAGGCCUUGACAUGCAGAGAACUUUCCAGAGAUGGAUUGGUGCCUUCGGGAACUCUGACACAGGUGCUGCAUGGCUGUCGUCAGCUCGUGUCGUGAGAUGUUGGGUUAAGUCCCGCAACGAGCGCAACCUCGUUCUAUGUUGCCAGCACGUGAUGGUGGGGACUCAUAGGAGACUGCCGGGGUCAACUCGGAGGAAGGUGGGGAUGACGUCAAAUCAUCAUGCCCCUUACGUCUUGGGCUUCACGCAUGCUACAAUGGCCGGUACAGAGGGCUGCGAAACCGUGAGGUGGAGCGAAUCCCUUAAAGCUGGUCUCAGUUCGGAUUGGGGUCUGCAACUCGACCCCAUGAAGUCGGAGUCGCUAGUAAUCGCGCAUCAGCCAUGGCGCGGUGAAUACGUUCCCGGGCCUU